UGGGGAAUCUUGCGCAAUGGGGGCAACCCUGACGCAGCGACGCCGCGUGCGGGACGAAGGCCUUCGGGUCGUAAACCGCUUUCAGCAGGGACGAGGCCGCGAGGUGACGGUACCUGCAGAAGAAGCCCCGGCUAACUACGUGCCAGCAGCCGCGGUAAUACGUAGGGGGCGAGCGUUAUCCGGAUUCAUUGGGCGUAAAGCGCUCGUAGGCUGCCCGCUAGGUCCGGGGUCAAAUCCGGGGGCUCAACCCCCGCACGCCCCGGAUACCGGCGGGCUUGAGUCGGGUAGGGGAAGGCGGAAUUCCAGGUGUAGCGGUGGAAUGCGCAGAUAUCUGGAAGAACACCGGUGGCGAAGGCGGCCUUCUGGGCCUCGACUGACGCUGAGGAGCGAAAGCUGGGGG
rnacentral:rRNA from 1 species